GCAAAGUAGCCACUAUUUUCUCCCUUUACAGCUCAGGACCCUGCUCAGAGUCCACAAUGCUACCCUCAGCUGGAUGCUGGCCAGAGCACAGCAAAAGGAUGCACUGUCAUGGCCUGAAGAAAAGAAAGUGAAUCAAUGAUGACGGAGGAGUUUGAAGAA
rnacentral:lncRNA from 1 species